GACGAACGCUGGCGGCGUGCUUAACACAUGCAAGUCGAACGAUGAACUUGGAGCUUGCUCUGGGGGAUUAGUGGCGAACGGGUGAGUAACACGUGAGUAACCUGCCCUGGACUCUGGGAUAACUUCGAGAAAUCGGAGCUAAUACCGGAUAGGACCUUGCACCGCAUGGUGGGGGGUGGAAAGUUUUUCGGUUUGGGAUGGACUCGCGGCCUAUCAGCGUGUUGGUGAGGUAAUGGCUCACCAAGGCGUCGACGGGUAGCCGGCCUGAGAGGGUGACCGGCCACACUGGGACUGAGACACGGCCCAGACGCCUACGGGAGGCAGCAGUGGGGAAUAUUGCACAAUGGGCGCAAGCCUGAUGCAGCAACGCCGCGUGCGGGAUGACGGCCUUCGGGUUGUAAACCCCUUUCAGUCGGGACGAAGCGAGAGUGACGGUACCGAUAGAAGAAGCACCGGCCAACUACGUGCCAGCCGCCGCCGUAAGAC
rnacentral:rRNA from 1 species